rnacentral:rRNA from 1 species
AGACCCGAAACCCGGUGAUCUAGCCAUGGGCAGGUUGAAGGUUGGGUAACACUAACUGGAGGACCGAACCGACUAAUGUUGAAAAAUUAGCGGAUGACUUGUGGCUGGGGGUGAAAGGCCAAUCAAACCGGGAGAUAGCUGGUUCUCCCCGAAAGCUAUUUAGGUAGCGCCUCGUGAAUUCAUCUCCGGGGGUAGAGCACUGUUUCGGCAAGGGGGUCAUCCCGACUUACCAACCCGAUGCAAACUGCGAAUACCGGAGAAUGUUAUCACGGGAGACACACGGCGGGUGCUAACG